AUUGAACGCUGGCGGCAUGCCUUACACAUGCAAGUCGAACGGCAGCACGGGGGCAACCCUGGUGGCGAGUGGCGGACGGGUGAGUAAUGCAUCGGAACGUGCCCUGAAGUGGGGGAUAACGCAGCGAAAGCUACGCUAAUACCGCAUAUUCUGUGAGCAGGAAAGCAGGGGAUCGCAAGACCUUGCGCUUUGGGAGCGGCCGAUGUCGGAUUAGCUAGUUGGUGGGGUAAAGGCCUACCAAGGCGACGAUCCGUAGCGGGUCUGAGAGGAUGAUCGCCACACUGGGACUGAGACACGGCCCAGACUCCUACGGGAGGCAGCAGUGGGGAAUUUUGGACAAUGGGCGAAAGCCUGAUCCAGCCAUGCCGCGUCGAGUGAAGAAGGCCUUCGGGUU
rnacentral:rRNA from 1 species